UAGUCUCGCACAGAUGCAUAUCAAUAAGCGGAGGAAAAGAAACUAACAAGGAUUCCCCUAGUAACGGCGAGUGAAGCGGGAAGAGCUCAAAUUUGAAAUCUUAAAGGGUUUCCCUUUACGAAUUGUAGUUUAAAGAAGUGUUUUCUGUUGAGGUUUUGGUAAAAGUUCUUUGGAAUAGGACAUCAUAGAGGGUGAGAAUCCCGUAUUUGACCUUUACUUUCAACUUUGUGAUACACUUUCAAAGAGUCGGAUUGUUUGGGAAUGCAGUCCAAAAUGGGUGGUAAAUUUCAUCUAAAGCUAAAUAUUGGCGAGAGACCGAUAGCGAACAAGUACCGUGAGGGAAAGAUGAAAAGAACUUUGAAAAGAGAGUUAAACAGUACGUGAAAUUGUCAAAAGGGAAGCGUUUGACACCAGUGUUGUUUUUCUGAAAAUCAAUUAAAGAACUGUUUAUGCUAAGCUUGUUUAGACUUUAUCAGCUAACUGUUUAGUUUUGAGCUUUUCUUUAAUGCACUUUUCAGUUAACAAGUCAACAUCAAUUUCUUUUGCUGUAAAAAAGCUUGAGGAAGGUGGCUUGAGAUUCGUCUUAAGUGUUUAUAGCCUCUUGCCUAUGCAGUCGGAGAGAUUGAGGUCUGCAGCGUAGAUCCUUCGGGGCUAAAUGCAUUUGUGCUAAGUUAUAGCAUUUUAUAGACAACUUGUUGACUAUGAUUUGUCUUGUAGCUUACUCGCUUAUGUUAUUUUACCUACGCUUAGGAUGUUGACGCAUGAGAUAUACGC
rnacentral:rRNA from 1 species